rnacentral:rRNA from 1 species
CCUACGGGUGGCAGCAGUCGAGAAUCAUUCACAAUGGGGGAAACCCUGAUGGUGCGACGCCGCGUGGGGGAAUGAAGGUCUUCGGAUUGUAAACCCCUGUCAUGUGGGAGCAAAUUAAAAAGAUAGUACCACAAGAGGAAGAGACGGCUAACUCUGUGCCAGCAGCCGCGGUAAUACAGAGGUCUCAAGCGUUGUUCGGAAUCACUGGGCGUAAAGCGUGCGGAGGCUGGUGCGUAAGUCGAGUGUGAAAGGUGCGGGCUCAACCCGCGGACGGCACAUGAUACUGCGAGACUAGAGUAAUGGAGAGGGAACCGGAAUUCUCGGUGUAGCAGUGAAAUGCGUAGAUAUCGAGAGGAACACUCGUGGCGAAGGCGGGUUCCUGGACAUUAACUGACGCUGAGGCACGAAGGCCAGGGGAGCGAAAGGGAUUAGAUACCCCAGUAGUC